rnacentral:rRNA from 1 species
GACGAACGCUGGCGGCGUGCUUAACACAUGCAAGUCGAACGCUGAACCCGCUUCGGUGGGGGAUGAGUGGCGAACGGGUGAGUAACACGUGGGCAACCUGCCCCCGGCUCUGGGAUAACUCCAAGAAAUUGGGGCUAAUACCGGAUGUGACCGCUGGCCGCAUGGUCUGGUGGUGGAAAGGGUUUCUGGCUGGGGAUGGGCCCGCGGCCUAUCAGCUUGUUGGUGGGGUAGUGGCCUACCAAGGCGACGACGGGUAGCCGGCCUGAGAGGGUGACCGGCCACACUGGGACUGAGACACGGCCCAGACUCCUACGGGAGGCAGCAGUGGGGAAUAUUGCGCAAUGGGCGGAAGCCUGACGCAGCGACGCCGCGUGGGGGAUGACGGCCUUCGGGUUGUAAACCUCUUUCAGCAGGGACGAAGCGCAAGUGACGGUACCUGCAGAAGAAGCACCGGCCAACUACGUG